AACGCACAUUGCGCCCCUUGGUAUUCCGAGGGGCAUGCCUAUUCGAGCGUCAUUAUCACCCCUCAAGCCUAGCUUGGUGUUGAGGCCUGCUGUCAAGGCAGCCUCUAAAAUCAGUGGCAGUGCUGUCAGGCUCUAAGCGUAGUAAAAUUCAUCGCUAUAGACACCUGGUGGACACUCGCCAGAACCCCCCCAUUUUUUAAUGAUUGACCUCGGAUUAGGUAGGGAUACCCGCUGAACUUAA
rnacentral:misc_RNA from 1 species